GGUUUGAUCCUAAUCAGAUUGAACGCUGGCAGGAUGCUACAUAGUCGAACGGCAGCACGGACUUCGGUCUGGUGGCGAGUGGCGAACGGGUGAGUAAUGUAUCGGAACGUGCCUAGUAGCGGGGGAUAACUACGCGAAAGCGUAGCUAAUAUACGCCCUUCGGGGAGAAAGCGGGGGACCUUCGGGCCUCGCACUGUAGAGCGGCCGAUAUCGGAUUAGCUAGUUGGUGGGGUAACGGCUCACCAAGGCGACGAUCCGUAGCUGGUUUGAGAGGACGACCAGCCACACUGGGACGGGACACGGCCCAGACCCCUACGGGAGGGCAGCAGUGAAAUUUUGGACAAUGGGGGAAACCUGAAUCCCGGCGCCAUCCGUGUGCGAUGAAGGCCUUCGGGUUGUAAAGCACUUUUGGCAGGGAAAGAAACGGCACGGGAUAAUGCCCCGUGCAACUGACGUACCUGCAGAAUAAGCACCGGCUAACUACGUGCCAGCAGCCGCGGUAAUACGUAGAGUGCAAGCGUUAAUGCAGAUUACUGGGCGUAAACGUGCCGAGCGGUUCGGAAGAAGAUGUGACAUCCCAGAGCUUAACUUUGGAACUGCAUUUUUUUAACUACCGAGCUAGAGUGUGUCAGAGGUGGAACCUGCGUGUAGCAGUGAAAUGCGUAGAUAUGCCGGAGGGCUUACCGAUAGCGAAGGCAGCCUCCUGGGAUAACACUGACGCUCAUGCGUGUGGGAGGAGCAAACAGGAUUCAGAUGCCCUGGUGGUCACGCCCUAAACGAUGUCAACUAGCUGUUGUAGGGGCCUUCGGGCCUUGGUAGCGCAGCUAACGUGAAGUUGGCCGCCUGGGGAGAGUACGGUCGCAAGAUUAAAACUCAAGAUUGACGGGGACCCGCACAAGCGGUGGAUGAUGUGGAUUAAUUCGAUGCAACGCGAAAAACCUUACUACCCUUGACGUGUCUGGAAUCCGAAGAGAUUUGGGAGUGCUCGCAAGAGAACCGGAACACAGGUGCUGCAUGGCUGUCGUCAAUAAGCCGUGAGAUGUUGGGUUGAUCACAACACGAGCGCAACCCUUGUCAUUGGUUUUGCUACAGAAAGGGCACUCUAAUGAGACUGCCGACGACCUCUCGAAGCCAGGAGGGAAGGUGGGGAUGACGUCAAGUCCUCAUGGCCCUUAUGGUGGGAGCUUCACACGUCAUGCAAUGGUCGAGACAGAGGGUCGCCAACCCCCGCGAGGGGAGCCAAUCCGAAAACUGAUCGUAGUCCGGAUCGCAGUCUGCAACUCGACUGCGUGAAGUCCGGAAUGUCUGGUAAUCGCGGAUCGGCAUGUCGCGGUGAAUACGUUCCCGGGUCUUGUACACACCGCCCGUCACACCAUGGGAGUGGGUUUUACCAGAAGUAGUUAGCUAACCGUAAGGAGGGCGAUUACGGUAAGUUCAUGACUGGGGUGAAGUCGUAACAAGGUAA
rnacentral:rRNA from 1 species